CGGCGCAGAGUCGCUGUAAUAAAUGCUCGGGAAGUUAUGGAGAGGAAGAAUAGGAUCCCAGUGAUUAAUGCCAAAGCCCUGUUGCCUGGGGAGAGGGUGAUGUUUGACUUUCUUGUACAGCUGCAGUUUGUGUGGUGAAGGUGCUCCCACAAUGUGGUUGGAUUCCAACAUCUGCCAAGAUGGGAUUCGAACCAGGACUUCAGUCGUUUGUUUUAAUAUUUUGGAUAAAAGUUAAAUACAUUAGGAUGAGGGUGUCACUGACUGGGCCCAAAGGGCAGUAAAGAGUCAACCACAUUGCUGUGGGUCUGGAGUCACAUGUAGGCCAGACCAGGAUAUUGAGAAUAAUUGAGACUGGAAUCUCAAAAACCAUUUUCUACAGUCAGCUGAGUCAUCAGGAUCUGAAUACCAUUGGCAUUUAACUGUGGAAGGAGAAAGGGUGCUACAUGGUGAAGGUUUGCAGACUGAAAUCUAAAAAUCACGUGCAGAUUGUGAUUAAGUUAACCAGCAUUUGAAGAACCACAGAUGGAGAAUCACUCGGCCAAAAUCCUGCACACUCUCCACACAGCAUUGUUGGUCUAUCUGCGCCAAAUGGACUGUGAAUGGCACAAGACAGCAGCUCACUACCAUCUUCUCAAGGGUAACUAGAGAUGGGGAAUAAAUGCUGGCUGAGCCAGUGAUGCCCAUAUCCUGGAAAUGGGUUCUAUCUCUAGUUGCUGAAACCCAGUUGAUGUUACUGCAGGAUGAUGAGGGACGCUGAGUGCAUCCUCCAGGAGGCAGCACCAUCACAUUACCCCUGCCUACACCCACACAGUAACACAGCAACGUCACUGGAACAAAAGGCAGUGAAACCAAAGGAGGACUGAGAUAUAGUUCUUCGAGGUAAAGUCAUGAAAGGGGAUUGGA